rnacentral:rRNA from 1 species
UACGUAGGGUGCGAGCGUUGUCCGGAAUUAUUGGGCGUAAAGAGCUCGUAGGCGGUGUGUCACGUCGGCCGUGAAAACCUGCAGCUUAACUGUGGGCGUGCGGUCGAUACGGGCAUCACUGGAGUUCGGCAGGGGAGACUGGAAUUCCUGGUGUAGCGGUGAAAUGCGCAGAUAUCAGGAGGAACACCGGUGGCGAAGGCGGGUCUCUGGGCCGAACUGACUCGUGAGGAACGAAAGCGUGGGGAGCAAACAGG